rnacentral:rRNA from 1 species
AGUCGAGCGAACAGAUAAGGAGCUUGCUCCUUUGACGUUAGCGGCGGACGGGUGAGUAACACGUGGGUAACCUACCUAUAAGACUGGGAUAACUUCGGGAAACCGGAGCUAAUACCGGAUAACAUUUGGAACCGCAUGGUUCUAAAGUGAAAGAUGGUUUUGCUAUCACUUAUAGAUGGACCCGCGCCGUAUUAGCUAGUUGGUAAGGUAACGGCUUACCAAGGCGACGAUACGUAGCCGACCUGAGAGGGUGAUCGGCCACACUGGAACUGAGACACGGUCCAGACUCCUACGGGAGGCAGCAGUAGGGAAUCUUCCGCAAUGGGCGAAAGCCUGACGGAGCAACGCCGCGUGAGUGAUGAAGGGUUUCGGCUCGUAAAACUCUGUUAUUAGGGAAGAACAAAUGUGUAAGUAACUGUGCACGUCUUGACGGUACCUAAUCAGAAAGCCACGGCUAACUACGUGCCAGCAGCCGCGGUAAUACGUAGGUGGCAAGCGUUAUCCGGAAUUAUUGGGCGUAAAGCGCGCGUAGGCGGUUUCUUAAGUCUGAUGUGAAAGCCCACGGCUCAACCGUGGAGGGUCAUUGGAAACUGGGAAACUUGAGUGCAGAAGAGGAAAGUGGAAUUCCAUGUGUAGCGGUGAAAUGCGCAGAGAUAUGGAGGAACACCAGUGGCGAAGGCGACUUUCUGGUCUGUAACUGACGCUGAUGUGCGAAAGCGUGGGGAUCAAACAGGAUUAGAUACCCUGGUAGUCCACGCCGUAAACGAUGAGUGCUAAGUGUUAGGGGGUUUCCGCCCCUUAGUGCUGCAGCUAACGCAUUAAGCACUCCGCCUGGGGAGUACGACCGCAAGGUUGAAACUCAAAGGAAUUGACGGGGACCCGCACAAGCGGUGGAGCAUGUGGUUUAAUUCGAAGCAACGCGAAGAACCUUACCAAAUCUUGACAUCCUUUGAAAACUCUAGAGAUAGAGCCUUCCCCUUCGGGGGACAAAGUGACAGGUGGUGCAUGGUUGUCGUCAGCUCGUGUCGUGAGAUGUUGGGUUAAGUCCCGCAACGAGCGCAACCCUUAAGCUUAGUUGCCAUCAUUAAGUUGGGCACUCUAGGUUGACUGCCGGUGACAAACCGGAGGAAGGUGGGGAUGACGUCAAAUCAUCAUGCCCCUUAUGAUUUGGGCUACACACGUGCUACAAUGGACAAUACAAAGGGCAGCUAAACCGCGAGGUCAUGCAAAUCCCAUAAAGUUGUUCUCAGUUCGGAUUGUAGUCUGCAACUCGACUACAUGAAGCUGGAAUCGCUAGUAAUCGUAGAUCAGCAUGCUACGGUGAAUACGUUCCCGGGUCUUGUACACACCGCCCGUCACACCACGAGAGUUUGUGACACCCGAAGCCGGUGGAGUAA